rnacentral:rRNA from 1 species
CCUACGGGUGGCAGCAGUGAGGAAUAUUGGUCAAUGGGCGCGAGCCUGAACCAGCCAAGUAGCGUGAAGGAUGACUGCCCUACGGGUUGUAAACUUCUUUUAUAAAGGAAUAAAGUGAGGCACGUGUGCCUUUUUGUAUGUACUUUAUGAAUAAGGAUCGGCUAACUCCGGGCCAGCAGCCGCGGUAAUACGGGGGAUCCGGGCGUUAUCCGGAUUUAUUGGGGUUAAAGGGUGCGUAGGCGGGCUGUUAAGUCAGCGGUAAAAGCCCGGGGCUAAACCCCGGCGAGCCGUUGAAACUGGCUGUCUUGAGAGGUCGAGAGGUAUGCGGAAUGCGCAGUGUAGCGGUGAAAUGCUUAGAUAUCACGAAGAACUCCGAUUGCGAAGGCAGCUUACUAAACUGCCACUGACAUUGAUGCUCGAAAGUGUGGGUAUCAAACAGGAUUAGAUACCCCUGUAGUC